rnacentral:lncRNA from 1 species
UUAUUUUUUGCUUAAUAAAGAUUAAAAUAGAUAUUAUUUUAUUAUUUACUUAAAAAAACUUUGAGAUGAAUGAUAUCCACACCAAUGUUAUAGACCGCAUGAUUAUAGUAACGAGUGAUAUGAUCUCAAUUACAGACCAAAGUUCCGAGAGGAUAUAUAAAUUUGAACAUCUUUAUAUUAUUUUGAAUUACACAAGGCAAGCCAC